UGGAGUUCCAGGUGGCAGGUCGUUUUCUUCUUGCCCAUUGGCCUCUGGAGUGCCAAGGCGAGACAGUUCCUCGGGGGCUUCGGGGUAAAUAAUGGCUGUGUCGCUGCGCUGCAGGUACUCUGCUAUGCUGACUGCAUGCCCAUCUCCUUCCUCCAGUUUCCUUUUGGCAAAAUAUUCCUCAAAGUCCGACGUGCAAUUUGCAUUCUUAACUAAAAUGAGAGAAGGGGAAAAGAAGGGGUUGUGAGUGCAUCCUGCCUGAGUGCAGCCUGAGAGCUGAGCAGUCGUGCGUGCUGGAGCUCCAAGGCUGGAUCCUUGCUCUCACCAGUUGUGCUCCAGCUCCCAAUAAAAUUAAUGCUGGCUUUCCACCGGCUGGGAUGGAAGUAAGGCCGGGCAGUUAAAUUAACAGCCACACGGGCUCUACAGGGCAGCACAAGAAGUUUAUGAGGUCUCAGCAAUGCAGGUAACACUUCAUCUAGGCAGCUUCUGGGAGUCUCCUGGGGGAUUCACAACUGACAGGGCUGAGCUCAGCUGCCCCCAAAUCC
rnacentral:lncRNA from 1 species